ACGGGUGAGUAAUGCCUAGGAAUCUGCCUGGUAGUGGGGGACAACGUUUCGAAAGGAACGCUAAUACCGCAUACGUCCUACGGGAGAAAGCAGGGGACCUUCGGGCCUUGCGCUAUCAGAUGAGCCUAGGUCGGAUUAGCUAGUUGGUGGGGUAAUGGCUCACCAAGGCGACGAUCCGUAACUGGUCUGAGAGGAUGAUCAGUCACACUGGAACUGAGACACGGUCCAGACUCCUACGGGAGGCAGCAGUGGGGAAUAUUGGACAAUGGGCGAAAGCCUGAUCCAGCCAUGCCGCGUGUGUGAAGAAGGUCUUCGGAUUGUAAAGCACUUUAAGUUGGGAGGAAGGGCAGUAAGUUAAUACCUUGCUGUUUUGACGUUACCGACAGAAUAAGCACCGGCUAACUCUGUGCCAGCAGCCGCGGUAAUACAGAGGGUGCAAGCGUUAAUCGGAAUUACUGGGCGUAAAGCGCGCGUAGGUGGUUCGUUAAGUU
rnacentral:rRNA from 1 species